rnacentral:lncRNA from 10 species
GGGAAGUCUCCAUCCUCGCUUGUCUCCGCAGAAUCACAACCUCACAUGGGCAGAGCAGGGCCCUGACUGUGGUCCUGUAAGCUUCCUGGUCGACCUCCCUCCUUCUCGGUUUAUUCCGCCUGAUGGGCUCUUCUGACUGGCUCCAAAGAAAACAGACAUGAUAGAAACCUUAACUUGCCAGACUUCCUUGCAGCUAGAUGUGGCCAACUGAACAGUUUGGGCCAUGAAGAUGUAAGCCAAAAAGGCAGAGGCUUUGGAACAGAUUCAGCCAAUCAGAUUUCUUCCUUUAUUCUGCCUGGAAUACAGAUAUGAUGUCUGGAGGCAUAGCAACUAUUCUGUGGCCAUGAGGCAAUCAGUUCCACAUGCCAAGGAUGGCAGAGAAAGGAGGUAGAAGUAAUCUGGGUUUUGAUGACAUCAAUGUAUUCUCUUCCCCCUGGUCAUUAUUGCAUGAG